UAGUGUCUUUGUAAGCUCUCUGCACUCCAGUGCUUAGUCAGCCUGUUGCUUUCCUUUCUGCACUGCCAGUGCUCCAAGCCAGCCUUAACUGCUUACUUUCUGCACUCCCAGUGCUCCAAGCCAGUCAUGACUGCUUUCCUUUCUGCACUCCCAGUGCUCAAAGCCAGCCUUGACUGCUUUCCUUUCUGCACUCCCAGUGCUCUGAGCCAG